CGGACGUUUUGGUGUGAAAUUCAUAUUAAAAUGAAUGAUAUUAUCAUGAUAGUGAUAUUUACUAAAUACAUAUAUUCUAAUUAAGUAAAUCCGUUAUGUGCAGUAAACGGAUUUUUAACAUUUAUACACGGCGAAAAUGAAUCGAUACUUGAGAGGUUGUGAUAACCGCACUGUUAUAACAUUACUGAUUCCGUCAGUAAUAAUAUUUACUUUCUGGCAGACGCGAGAAUUCAGGAGGGAAAUAAGUACUACUAAGGGCUUAUGAAGUUAUUAAGUUCUCAAUGAAAUAGAAAAACAUUUAUAAAUGUA